rnacentral:rRNA from 1 species
AACCUGGUUGAUCCUGCCAGUAGUCAUAUGCUUGUCUCAAAGAUUAAGCCAUGCAUGUCUAAGUAUAAAUAACACACAGUAAAACUGCGAAUGGCUCAUUAAAACAGUUAUAGUUUAUUUGAUAUAUUAGAUGGAUAACUGUAGAAAACUAGAGCUAAUACAUGACAAGGCCGAAAGGCUGUAUUUAUUAGAUAUUCCAAAAAGGUGAUUCAUAAUAACUUAACGAAUCUCACGAAAGGUGAGAUAAAUCAUAUAAGUUUCUGCCCUAUCAUGCUUUCGAUGGUAGUGUAUUGGACUACCAUGGCUUUUACGGGUAACGGAGAAUUAGGGUUCGAUUCCGGAGAAGGAGCCUGAGAAACGGCUACUAGAUCUACGGAUUGCAGCAGGCGCGUAAAUUACCCAAUCCUGACUCAGGGAGGUAGUGACAAGAUAUAUCAACGCAAUUUUAUUUGUGAUUGAAGUGAAAGCAUUCUAAAUAGAUCUCAGAGUACUAUUGGAGGGCAAGUCUGGUGCCAGCAGCCGCGGUAAUUCCAGCUCCAAUAGCAUAUAUUAAAGUUGUUGCAGUUAAAACGCUCGUAGUUGGAUUUUAGCGAAACUUCAAGAAAUUCUUGAGGCUAGCUACUGGUCUUUGACCGUUACUGUGAGAAAAUUAGAGUGUUUCAAGCAGGCUUAUGCAGGAAUACAUUAGCAUGGGAAUAACGAAUAAGUCUAGAAUCUUGGUUAAUUCUAGAACUUGAUUAAUAGGGACAGUUGGGGGGCAUUAGUAUUUAAUAGUCAGAGGUGAAAUUCUUGGAUUUGUUAAAGACUAACCUAUGCGAAAGCAUUUGUCAAAGAUGUUUUCAUUAAUCAGCGGGCUAAAGAUAGGGGAUCAAAGACGAUCAGAUACCGUCGUAGUCCUAUCCAUAAACUAUACCGACUCGGGAUUGGCAUGAAUUCGUCUCAUGUCAGUACCGUAUGAGAAAUCAUUAAGUCUUUGGGUUCUGGGGGGAGUAUGGUCGCAAGUCUGAAACUUAAAGAAAUUGACGGAAGGGCACCACCAGGAGUGGAGCCUGCGGCUUAAUUUGACUCAACACGGGGAAACUUACCAGGUUAAGACAUGAUAAGGAUUGACAGAUUGAUAGCUCUUUCUUGAUUUCAUGGGUGGUGGUGCAUGGCCGUUCUUAGUUGGUGGAGUGAUUUGUCUGGUUAAUUCCGUUAACGAACGAGACCUUAACCUGCUAACUAGUUUGACGUAUUCUAUACGUUUUAACUUCUUAGAGAGACUAUCUGCGCAAUCAGAUGGAAGUUUGAGGCAAUAACAAGUCUGUGAUGCCCUUAUAUAUCCUGGGCUGCACGCGUGCUACACUGAUGCAUACAACAAGUUCCGAGUCUGAAAAGACAAGGUAAUCUCUAAUAUGCAUCGUGAUGGGGAUAGACCUUUGCAAUUAUUGGUCUUGAACGAGGAAUUCCUAGUAAAUGCAAGUCAUCAUCUUGCGUUGAUUACGUCCCUGCCCUUUGUACACAGCGCCCGUCGCUACUACCGAUACAGGGUGAUAAGGUGAAUUAUUUGGACCGAAUUUCGGAAAGUACCGUUAACACUAUCACCUAGAGGAAGUAAAAGUCGUAACAAGGUUUCCGUAGGUGAACCUGCAGAAGGAUCA